AGUCACUUUAACCUGCCUUUGAUGUGUGGGAACGGUAUGCUGAAGUCCGACUUCCCUCUCCAAAGCAGACUCACUUGACUGGAGCUAGCGUGAGAGCUGAGGCAGUUUAAUGUGUUCCCCCCCCCCCUCCAGACAAACGCAAUGAAAUACGACUGACUGAGUGACAGUUGCCUCCAGGCAGAGGACAUAAAGCGCUGAGAAAAGAAACUUCUCUGUUUCAACAUUUUGGUGUUUUUAUUACUCUGGGACGUGUGAUUUGAUCCGCCUGCGACACAAAGUCCAGAGUCUGCUGCCAACACACUGAGGAUGACGCGGACGAUCGAUUCACUUACUGAACAGGGGAUUACUGGGACAGCUCGACAGCCAGGUGACCCGUGAUUUCUCUGGGUCAAAGAGUCGUUCGGGGGACUGACUAAUGGAGAAAAACAAAUUGGACAACACGAGACCCAGGAGGAGUGGACCGGCUCAGGUCCAAGUCCCAGGAAUCAUCUUCCCACAUCUGAGCUUUCUGCCCAAUGAAUGAGGCUUUGUCUGCAGAGGAAUGAGAUCCAUAUCUCCCAUUUGGCAUCGCUCAUGUCGUCACUAAUCAGAAGCAGAUGAGCAGACAAGUUGUGCUUAGCGCUGACUGUGUACGUUAGCAACUUUACUGUGUGCAUGCUUGAGUGUAUGCAUGUGUGUGCAGAGCUUAGAUGGGUCUUACUGCUGAGCUAUGGGACAUGACUUGAGUUAAAAACUAGGUUUAUGUAGAGAUCAGAACAUGCUGAUGUAAAACAUGCACUCUGUUCUGAAUCACUUUUAUGACUUCUGUCAGUAUGUAAUUCACAAAUUCCACUGUUAAGAAUUUCAGCCGGACUUAAUUGUUUGAUAACAGUCCAAAAAUAGAAUUUGUAUUAUGAGAUGUAAAGAUUUAUGGCACUACAGGAGGGCAGAUGCUUGGAAACAGGUUUUGAACAGUUGCAGGACAGACCACAACCUUUGCCAAACACAUGGACUAUGAAUCAUAGAGACAUUUUUUGAUUUGAAAAAGAGGCCACAAAGCCGACUUUUGUAAUCUAAAGUGCCGUUUUUGGUUGACUUCCCUUACAGUAUAUACAGUAUGUGCGAAAUGCUCCUCAGUCAUGUCAAGGACAUAUGGCCAAUCCCAAGUGCCUAACUUGAAAGUAGAUGGUAGAUGUCCCACCAAAGGGGCUUUUUAAAAGCAACUUUGUGAUGUUUCUCAAACCACGCCGUUCCCAAACUUCUCAUUGCCACAUUCAUUCUGUACAAAGGAUCUCUGUUCAUUCUGGCCUCUCUCAGUAUCCCUUUGUGAACUUAGUCGGCAAGUCCUCUGCGCUGGAAUGCUUGUUCUCAGGGUUAGGAGGUAAAACGCACACAGAGGGACACACAAACACAUACGCAUUCACUUUCCCACAUAUUUUUCAAAGACAGCCGCAUUUAGACGUAACUGAGAGCCAAAGACAGGUCCCUGUGCAUCUCAAAACGGUGAAUAUGUCUUCUCUAAUUGAGACGUGCAGCCCUCACUGUCAUUAUGGUCAACCACUGCUCAUAAUGUUUAAUGAUAAUGUGAGUCCCGUGGGCCUGAAUGGAAGAACAUUCAUUUGUAUAAAAGGAGAGAAGGAGACGGAGAGCGUUUGGGAAGGGAGGGAAUAUCAGAGGGAAUGACAGGAGAUGGAGAAGGAGAGAGAGGACGCAGAAAAGAGUGAGAGCUUGGGAGCUUCAGACGACCUCUUCACCAGUAGAGACUGUAUUAGGGGGAUGAAUGUAGUCCUUUGUGCUGGGCAGACUGUGGGCUCCAAUGUAUGUGUGUGUUUGCGAAAAAGAAAGAGAGCACUAGGCGGCCCAGGCUCAGGGCCUACAGAUGUCUGGAGCUGCGCCGCUCACCCCCGGCCUUCACAGGCAGCAAGCAGCUGUUGUCAGAGAGAGACAGGCCGCCCCGGAGAGACUGGGAGGGGGCCAAUGGGCAGAAAACAAGAAAGAGGCUCUUUCACAGCCUGGUAUGUCCUUCUGGAUCCCCACACAAUGUAUCCUUUGAGGACCCAGAAGAAUAACAUUUAGAUUUAAAGUUUUCUCAUCCUGGGAAGUUUGGGUCAGCUAGCUCAGUUCUGCCGCUCUCCAAACUGUUGAAGGGUUGAUGCUGAGGUUAGGGUCAGAGCUUUGGGAAGACUGUGGCUGGAGUUAGGAUCCGAGCCAUCACUGCAGUCUUCGAUCCAGGAGCAAUGGCACCCAGAUAUAUUUCAAGCACCCCUUGACCAAUACAGACAAGGAAAUGUCAAGAAAAUGUCAAGACUUUAGGGGACCCAGAAUGUUGAUUUGUAUUGCAGAGGACAUGGCACAUGUCCGUGAAUGCAAUAUAAAGAGCUUGACUCUGUGGUCACCAACAGCUGACAGUUCAUACAAUAUAUCACAAACUUUAACCAAGACAAACACAGUCCAGUGUCGAUCAGCCAGGAUUCAGAGUUCCACUCCCCCUAAACUCCCAGCAGGUGUUUAUGAAAUUCGCUCCCAGCACCUGCAGAGUCCAGGGAACUGAGCCACUCUGUGUUUCCAUUGCUCUGAAGUCAAACAAGGCACAACACAUUACUUGUUGUACUACAGAAUGUGCCUUGACAUUUUUUUGGAGCCAGGUUUGUCAAAAUAUUUCCACUGAAGGAUUAAGGAAGUGCAGGGGUAUCCAGGGAGGAAAGGUUUUCUCCGUGGUCUCUGUGAACUAUAGCGUUGUCAGCUGGACGGUGAGGAAAGAAGGAAGGAAGGAACUUUUAUUUCAGCUUCACUUCAUCCAUAAAAAGUCAAAAAUGUCAUGUUGUUGGAACUACUUUAAAGCACUAACAAUUUACCCCGCUGGACCUUGGCAAAGAUUAUGACACCUGUGGCAGACAAUUCUGAAUGAAUGUCAUGUAAUAUCGACAGACUUUGCAUGAUAGCUCUUUAAGGUAGUCUUAAAGGAAGUCAUUAAUAAAGCCUGCCAAAUUAUAAUGUACAA